rnacentral:tRNA from 1 species
CAGAAAAUAGUUAAUAUAUAAUAGUAAGUUUGGAGCUUACAGAAGAGGGAUCUUUUCUGA